rnacentral:misc_RNA from 1 species
GUAGAUAUGCCACGUCUUGAGAGACGCCGGGCAAAUCCCAAGGAUGUGGCUGCAGUCAUAUUAGGAGGAGGCGAAGGGACCAAGUUAUUCCCACUUACAAGUAGAACUGCAACCCCUGCUGUUCCGGUUGGAGGAUGCUACAGGCUGAUAGACAUCCCAAUGAGCAACUGUAUCAACAGUGCUAUUAACAAGAUUUUUGUGCUGACACAGUACAAUUCUGCUGCCCUGAAUCGUCACAUUGCUCGAACAUAUUUUGGCAAUGGUGUGAGCUUUGGAGAUGGAUUUGUCGAGGUACUAGCUGCAACUCAGACACCUGGG